AUCCUGAAUUUACCCACAGCCAAACAAACAAGAUGGCGCUCACGUUACUUCUCAGAGUUCAAGGGUUCACAUCCCCUUCCUACAGAGCACCCUUCAUGCCCAAACAGGCCUCUCUAUGCCAGAGCACGAGGAGUCCCAGGAAGGAAGGAGAAAGUGGUCAAGUCCCGCCCUCUCUCCCUUUGCCACCUGGGCCGGAAAGCCACGCUGCUUGUUCCCCAGAGCAUCACAGAAAACCGUGAGUGUGAGCGCUUCACCUUCUACCUGAGGCUGCUGUGCUCUCUCCCCAGAGCAUCACAGAAAACCGUCAGCUCUGAGUAUACAUCAGAAAUUGCCUGCAGCUACCCUGCUAUGCCUAGACGCACCCUCCAGAAAGAAAUUCAAUGCAUUCAGAAGAUCAGCUCUCCUCUUACAUGAUGCAAAGAGGAUGUGAGGCCCAACGACUUUGGAAUUUUUACCCAUGGUCCACAAGCAAAUGAACUGAAGUGAUGAACCCAGUCUCCAUCACCACUCAGCUGCGAGAUCACCACCAGUCUCUAAAUGGGCUUUAACAGCUGACGGGAAAUCCAAACCAAGCCUCAGAAAUCAAGGAUUCCAGCUGGGGCCUGUUACAGAGGACAUUCUGUCCAUUUACCUGGAGAGUGAAUGUAGCGUCUCAACUCAGAGUGCUCACAUCAACCAGCCUCCCAAACUGGACCCAGGCGACUGUGGCCUGUCCCUCACUCUCUUGCUCCCUUAUCAAACGCUUGUUGAGCAUUUACUACGUGUAACCCCUGAACUCUGCAUGGUGUUUGAUAUUUAUACAUCAAAACAGUCUCUCCUAGUUGGAAAACCAGACGGGCAGUGAAUUCUUGGAUGGAGAACCAGUUAGGGAAAGAAACCUGAAAAUAUAAAUUAUCUGACAAGAUUUUCCUUGAAACCAAGCUUGAGGAAAUUUCAAAAAAUGUCUCGAGUAAGAUACAAAUGGAAAUUAAGUAUAGUAUCCAUUGUCACUAACUCAUGGUGUAUAGAAUAUCAGUGAUAUUCUCUUAAAAGCACAAAAUAUACCUUUUUGUGUUGGGCAAAUCUCUCAUAAGCAAAUUUCAAAGAGAACAUUUCUGGUGAAAUAGAUGAUGCUAAAAGUAUUUAUGUGAAAGAUGCCUCAGCUUGAUAACCUGUGAAGAAUGCCCAUUGUUCUUAAUCACAGUCUACUGAUAAGUAUUCAUUAAUUAUAAUAAUAUUUUGUGGGUCCAUGGAUCCUUUCAUCCCUAGUUUUCAAAGUGCUUUACAACUGGUCAUUAAUUCCUCCAACAUCCUAGGGACAAAUUUAAGGGUAACUUUCAGCAAAACUUGCACUGAUGCUCAGAAUGCCUUCCUCAGAAGUUUUAGACCCAGAGCGUGGUUUUGUUGCCUGAAUUCUUGGAAUGAGGAACAGCCG
rnacentral:lncRNA from 1 species